rnacentral:rRNA from 1 species
GACGAACGCUGGCGGCGUGCUUAACACAUGCAAGUCGAACGGAAAGGCCCUGCUUUUGUGGGGUGCUCGAGUGGCGAACGGGUGAGUAACACGUGAGUAACCUGCCCUUGACUUUGGGAUAACUUCAGGAAACUGGGGCUAAUACCGGAUAGGAGCUCCUGCUGCAUGGUGGGGGUUGGAAAGUUUCGGCGGUUGGGGAUGGACUCGCGGCUUAUCAGCUUGUUGGUGGGGUAGUGGCUUACCAAGGCUUUGACGGAUAGCCGGCCUGAGAGGGUGACCGGCCACAUUGGGACUGAGAGACGGCCCAGACUCCUACGGGAGGCAGCGGUGGGGAAUAUGGCACAAUGGGCGGAAGCCUGAGGCGGCGACGCCGCGUGCGGAAUGACGGCCUUCGGGUUGUAAACCGCUUUCGCCUGUGACGAAGCGUGAGUGACGGUAAUGGGUAAAGAAGCACCGGCUAACUACGUG